AACAGAACUGUCGCUUCUCUCUCUUCUCUCUGCCUCUCUCUGUUUUGAAUUGGAGAGCAGCGAGAACAGAGACCUACAUUCUCUCUGUGCUCUGUCUCUCUUUCUCCGCUGAAGCUUCGGGGGUUUAUCGAAAUUGCAGAGCAACGAGAUCUUGGUCGACGGCAUUGUGAAUCCUAGACAGCUUGAUCUUGGGACAAGAGGACAUACCCAGCGGCCGUGUCGGAGAUGAGGGUGCCCUCAGUGAUGAGAAAACCACCCUUGGUCGAUCUUUGCGCAUAGUACUCAGCAUGCGCUGGCAUUGGAAUCUCAUUUAGCGCUCUGCAUCUCGUCAGAGGCGCUAGCACUACCCUGUGAGAGAGAUCGAACUUUCCCAUCUGGCAUGGAGUGAAGAGGUUCACGGCCAUCUCGUGCGUAGCUUUACGUUCUGGUAAGAAUGAACAGCAAAGGUUGAUACUAAGAAUAUGAUGGUGAAAAUUUGAAGAUGGUGUGAUCUGAGGCUGAUCUAUAUAGCUCAUUGGUAUUUAUAGCUUGUUGUUGCCAUUUGAACAUUGCAGCAAAAACUGGGAAGAUUCGGCGUAAUUCAGUUUGAGCAUGCCAAG